rnacentral:rRNA from 1 species
AGCAGCCGCGGUAAUUCCAGCUCCAAUAGCGCAUAUUAAAGUUGCUGCAGUUAAAAAGCUCGUAGUUGAAUUUCGGGACCAUCAUGUCGGUCGUGCCUCGGUACGUACUGGCAUUGUUGGUUUCUCCCUUCUGACGAACCAUGAUGUCAUUAAUUUGGUGUCUUGGGGAAUCAGGACUGUUACUUUGAAAAAUUAGAGUGUUUAAAGCAGGCUCACGCUUGAAUACAUUAGCAUGGAAUAAUGAAAUAGGACGUUUGAUUCUAUUUUGUUGGUUUCUAGGAUCGACGUAAUGAUUAAUAGGGAUAGUUGGGGGCAUUAGUAUUCAAUUGUCAGAGGUGAAAUUCUUGGAUUUAUUGAAGACUAACUACUGCGAAAGCAUUUGCCAAGGAUGUUUUCAUUAAUCAAGAACGAAAGUUAGGGGAUCGAAGACGAUCGGAUACCGUCGUAGUUUUAACCAUAAACUAUGCCGACUAGGGAUCGGAUGAUGUUAAUUUUUAAUGACUCAUUCGGCGCCUUAAC